rnacentral:rRNA from 1 species
UACGUAGGGCGCAAGCGUUGUCCGGAAUUAUUGGGCGUAAAGAGCUCGUAGGCGGUCUGUCACGUCUGCCGUGAAAACCCGAGGCUUAACCUCGUGGCUUGCGGUGGAUACGGGCAGACUAGAGGUAGGUAGGGGAGAAUGGAAUUCCCGGUGUAGCGGUGAAAUGCGCAGAUAUCGGGAGGAACACCGGUGGCGAAGGCGGUUCUCUGGGCAGUAACUGACGCUGAGGAGCGAAAGCGUGGGGAGCAAACAGG